UGAGCAUAACUUUUUAUUUUUGGCAGCCAAUGAUAUGCUUCUGUUCAUGCUGAAAUGGUACGAGAAGUUUCCUUCCUACAGAUCAAGGGAGCUGUUUCUUACUGGAGAAAGCUAUGCAGGACAUUAUAUACCACAGUUAGCUAAUGCUAUUUUGGACCACAAUGCUAAUUCAGCUGGUUUCAAAUUCAAUAUUAAAGGAGUUGCUAUUGGAAACCCACUUCUGAAAACUUGAUCGUGAUGCACAAGCAACUUAUGAAUACUUCUGGUCACAUGGAAUGAUUUCCGAUGAAGUUGGCCUUGCCAUUACGAAUGAUUGCGAUUUUGAUGAUUAUGUUUUUUCAAGUACACAACAUAAUGUGUCUAAAUCAUGCAACAAAGCAUUAAACAAAGCAGAAAAAAUUGUUGGCGAUUAUAUAAACAACUAUGAUGUGAUUCUGGAUGUUUGUUAUCCAUCCAUAGUUGAACAAGAACUAAGAUUGAAAAAGAUGGUACUA